UNCCUGACAGGGGCAGGCCACUGUACAGA
rnacentral:piRNA from 1 species